rnacentral:rRNA from 1 species
AGUGAACGCUGGCGGUAGGCCUAACACAUGCAAGUCGAACGGCAGCACAGUAAGAGCUUGCUCUUACGGGUGGCGAGUGGCGGACGGGUGAGGAAUACAUCGGAAUCUACUUUUUCGUGGGGGAUAACGUAGGGAAACUUACGCUAAUACCGCAUACGACCUACGGGUGAAAGCAGUGGAUCUUCGGACCUUGCGCGAUUGUAUUAGCCGAUGUCGGAUUAGCUAGUUGGCGGGGUAAAGGCCCACCAAGGCGACGAUCCGUAGCUGGUCUGAGAGGAUGAUCAGCCACACUGGAACUGAGACACGGUCCAGACUCCUACGGGAGGCAGCAGUGGGGAAUAUUGGACAAUGGGCGAAAGCCUGAUCCAGCCAUACCGCGUGGGUGAAGAAGGCCUUCGGGUUGUAAAGCCCUGUUGUUGGGAAAGAAAAGCAGCAGGUUAAUACCCCGCUGUUCUGACGGUACCCAAAGAAUAAGCACCGGCUAACUUCGUG